AAUCAAUCGUUUAGAAAAAAAGUUACACGUAUUUUACUAAAGAGUAGUUUAUCUGACGCGCAAGAGGAAGCUGUCGAGAUUCUGAUGUGGUGUCGAGCGACACCCAACCUGUUCGGAAACCGCCUCAUGAUUUAAUAAAGUUUUAAUAAUUGCAAUUUGGCUCAAAGUUUCAUGUAUUUGCACAUGAGUCUCUGAACGUGUUUUAACCUAUAUUUACUAUUUUCUAGCUGUUGUUUAGGCUAAGCUAUGUUUGAGAUUGGAGAGAAGAGAAGAACUCAACUGAGAUACUUUUUGUCAAGUAUUUCUAUCUACUAUAUAUAUGCAGUUUAUUCAUUGAUUUGUUGUCUUCCAUGAUUAUGUCUGAGUAACCAACAUGUUAGUUUAGGAAUUUUCUAGGAUUUGUGACGAACUGUUUAUUGAUAGAUAUACUAGGGUAACCUUAUCUUAUUCUACACCAGGAUUGUUUAUUAUAGCAUGAUCUAAAGUAGCUAACGGAUAUAAAGUAGCUAACUAGAACCUAGAAUCAUACGACAAUUGAGAGACACGAGAGUAUAAUCGAUUGACAAAACCUAAUCAUGUUGGACUAAAUACUUAUUCACAAUUAGAGUUAGUCUAGGUAUUUAGUUGAACUAUAUCGAAUUGGACCUAACGUUUGCUUGAUUCAUUGAAUUCAAAAUGAGAGUUGGUAUUUGAUUAGAGUUAAACGUCUGAUAGUCUUUUGCAGCGAGAGUUGGAAAACUUACUAGUUGCAUUCGAGUUAUGGAAUCAAACCUAAUUAAACAUGUGUCACCUAUUGAUUUUGGUUUUGAAUUCA
rnacentral:lncRNA from 1 species